rnacentral:snoRNA from 1 species
UGGCGCGGGCACGCACUACCCCAGUGGUGGGCGCUGCUCGCGCGUUGUCUGA